rnacentral:rRNA from 1 species
AUGAACGCUGGCGGCGUGGAUAAGGCAUGCAAGUCAAACGGCGUAGCAAUACGCAGUGGCAGACGAGGUAGUAAUAAGUAGGUACGAACCUUGAAGUCAGGAAUAGCUCCGCGAAAGCGGAGGUAAUGCUUGAUGGUCCCUCCGGGGUAAAGAUUUAUCGCUUCAAGAUCGGCCUGCUCGGUAUCAGCUAGUUGGCAGUGUAAAAGACUACCAAGGCUAUGACGCCUAGGGGAGGUGAGAGCCUGACCCCCACCGAUGGAACUGAGACACGGUCCAUACACCUACGGGUGGCUGCAGCCGAGAAUAUUCGACAAUGGGCGAAAGCCUGAUCGAGCGACGCCGCGUGGAGGAUGAAGUGCUUCGGCAUGUAAACUCCUUUUGUAGUCCAGAAAGUUUAUUGAUCGGACUAAGAAUAAGAGGUUGCUAAACUCGU